GCCUGCUCACUGAAAUUUAAAGAGCCGCAGUAUUCUGACUGUGCUAAGGUAGCAUAAUCAUUAGUCUUUUAAUUGGAGACUGGUAUGAAUGGUUAAACGAGAAAUCAACUUUUUUUGCUAUAAAGAUUGAAUUUAAUUUUUUAGUGAAAAAGCUAAAAUUUUUCAGAAAGACGAGAAGACCCUAUAGAGUUUUAUAUCACGAAUAAUUUUCUUUUAGUAGGUUUUUUUGGAUAAAAUUUUUUUGUGAUAUUUUGUUGGGGCGACAUUAAGAUAAGAAAAACUCUUUAUUUUGAAAACUUUACUAAAAGAAUUAACUGAUCCUUUAGAAGAGAUCAUAAGAAAAAAUUACCUUAGGGAUAACAGCGUAAUCUUUUUUGAGAGUUCUAAUCGACAAAAAGGUUUGCGACCUCGAUGUUGGACUAAAAUUCAGGCAGGGUGCAGUAGUUCUGU
rnacentral:rRNA from 1 species